rnacentral:rRNA from 1 species
GACAGAGGGUGCAAACGUUGUUCGGAAUUACUGGGCGUAAAGGGCGCGUAGGCGGCCAUCUAAGUCAGACGUGAAAUCCCCCGGCUUAACCUGGGAACUGCGUCUGAUACUGGACGGCUUGAGUAUGGGAGAGGGAUGUAGAAUUCCAGGUGUAGCGGUGAAAUGCGUAGAUAUCUGGAGGAAUACCGGUGGCGAAGGCGGCAUCCUGGACCAUUACUGACGCUGAGGCGCGAAAGCUAGGGGAGCAAACGGG